CUAACGCAUUAAUCACUCCGCCUGGUGAGUACGGACCGCAAGGUUGAAACUCAAAGGAAUUGACGGGGACCCGCACAAGCGGGGGAGCAUGUGGUUUAAUUCGAUGCAACGCGAAAAACCUUACCAAAUCUUGACAUCCUCUGACCCCUCUAGAGAUAGAGUUUUCCCCUUCGGAGGACAAAGUGACAGGUGGUGCAUGGGUGUCGUCAUCUCGUGUCGAGAUAUGUUGGGUUAAGUCCCGCAACGAGCGCAACCCUUAAGCUUAUUUGCCAUCAUUAAGUUGGGCACUCUAAGUUGACUGCCGGUGACAAACCGGAGGAAGGUGGGGAUGACGUCAAAUCAUCAUGCCCCUUAUGAUUUGGGCUACACACGUGCUACAAUGGACAAUACAAAGGGCAGCGAAACCGCGAGGUCAAGCAAAUCCCAUAAAGUUGUUCUCAGUUCGGAUUGUAGUCUGCAACUCGACUAUAUGAAGCUGGAAUCGCUAGUAAUCGUAGAUCAGCAUGCUACGGUGAAUACGUUCC
rnacentral:rRNA from 1 species